ACGGGAGGCAGCAGUAGGGAAUCUUCCACAAUGGGCGAAAGCCUGAUGGAGCAACGCCGCGUGAGUGAAGAAGGAUUUCGGUUCGUAAAACUCUGUUGUAAGGGAAGAACAAGUACAGUAGUAACUGGCUGUACCUUGACGGUACCUUAUUAGAAAGCCACGGCUAACUACGUGCCAGCAGCCGCGGUAAUACGUAGGUGGCAAGCGUUGUCCGGAAUUAUUGGGCGUAAAGCACGCGCAGGUGGUUUCUUAAGUCUGAUGUGAAAGCCCACGGCUCAACCGUGGAGGGUCAUUGGAAACUGGGAGACUUGAGUGCAGAAGAGGAUAGUGAAAUUCCAAGUGUAGCGGUGAAAUGCGUAGAGAUUUGGAGGAACACCAGUGGCGAAGGCGACUAUCUGGUCUGUAACUGACACUGAGGCGCGAAAGCGUGGGGAGCAAACAGGAUUAGAUACCCUGGUAGUCCACGCCGUAAACGAUGAGUGCUAAGUGUUAGGGGGUUUCCGCCCCUUAGUGCUGCAGCUAACGCAUUAAGCACUCCGCCUGGGGAGUACGGUCGCAAGACUGAAACUCAAAGGAAUUGAC
rnacentral:rRNA from 1 species